rnacentral:misc_RNA from 1 species
UGGAAGUAAAAGUCGUAACAAGGUUUCCGUAGGUGAACCUGCGGAAGGAUCAUUAAUAAAUGGCUCCGCGUUAGGAGCACUUAAUAAUCCUACCCUUUGUGAAUUUGUUGUUUGAAAUAAUUUUUUUUAAAAAUUAUUGAAUGUCUUUCCCUGUUGAAUUAGAGUGUUUUCGACACAAAGAUUCGCAGGGGAUAGUCAAUAAUUUUUAAAAAGACCUUUUUUUAAAUUAAACUUUUUAUUCAUUUGCUAAAAUUAUUUUAUAAUAUAAAACAACUUUGACAAUGGAUCUCUUGGUUCUCGCAACGAUGAAGAACGCAGCAAAAUGCGAUAAGUAGUGAAUUGCAGAAUACGUGAAUCAUCGAAUCUUCGAACGCAUAUUGCACUUUUUUAGUUUACUAAAAAGUAUGUCUGUUGAGUAUCAGUAAAAUAUUCUCAUAAAACAUUGUUUUUAUGGUUAUGAGUGUUUUACAACGAUACAAGUUGUUCACUUUAAUUUUUUUUUAAAAUUUGAAUUUUUUCUAAUUUUAAAAUAGAAUUGGAUAAAAUUUCCCGUAAAAAGGAAUAACCUAAACAUUUAAUUUUAAUAAUUAGAAUUCAAAUAUCAAAAAGAAUUUAUUCAAAAUAACUUGAUCUCAAAUCAGAUAAGAGUACCCGCUGAACUUAAGCAUAUCAAUAAGCGGAGGAAAAGAAACUAACAGGAUUCCCUUAACGGCGAGUGAAGCGGGAAGAGCUCAAAUUUGAAAUCUUCAAGGUUUUACCUUGACGAAUUGUAGUUUAAAGAAGUGUUUUCUGUGAAGUUUGGUAAAAGUCUUUGGAUAGGACAUCAUAGAGGUGAGAAUCCGUAUUUGACCAUUAUUUCAGCUGUGUGAUACACUUUCAAAGAGUCGGAUUGUUUGGGAAUGCAGUCCAAAAUGGGUGGUAAAUUCAUCUAAAGCUAAAUAUUGGCGAGAGACCGAUAGCGAACAAGUACCGUGAGGGAAAGAUGAAAAGAACUUGAAAAGAGAGUUAAACAGUACGUGAAAUUGUCAAAAGGGAAGCGUUUGACACCAGUGUGUUUCUCGAAAAUCAAUUAAAAAGUUGGGAUUUUGUGUUGUAUUGACCCUAACAGCUUUCUGCACUCUUUUCCGCUUUUUUUAAUGCACUUUCGUUUACAAGUCAACAUCAGUUCUUUGUUGUAAAGGGUCAUUGGAAGGUGGCUUUCUUUUCGGAGAAAGUGUUUAUAGCCUUUGAUCUCUGCAAU